rnacentral:rRNA from 1 species
UACGUAGGGGGCAAGCGUUGUCCGGAAUCAUUGGGCGUAAAGCGCGUGUAGGCGGCCCGAUAAGUCCGCUGUGAAAGUCCAGGGCUCAACCCUGGAAUGCCGGUGGAUACUGUCGGGCUCGAGUCCGGAAGAGGAGAGUGGAAUUCCUGGUGUAGCGGUGAAAUGCGCAGAUAUCAGGAGGAACACCCGUGGCGAAAGCGGCUCUCUGGGACGGUACUGACGCUGAGACGCGAAAGCGUGGGGAGGCAAACAGG